AACGCUAGCGGCAGGCUUAACACAUGCAAGUCGAGGGGCAGCGCGGGAUAGCAAUAUCCGUGGCGGCGACCGGCGGAAGGGUGCGUAACGCGUGAGCGACAUGCCCGUUGCCCGGGGACAACCGGUGGAAACGCCGACUAAUCCCCGAUGGGAUACGAUGCUUCAUGGCAUUGUAUUGAAAGUUACGGCGGCGACGGAUUGGCUCGCGUCCGAUUAGCUGGUUGGCGGGGUAACGGCCCACCAAGGCUGCGAUCGGUAGGGGUUCUGAGAGGAAGGUCCCCCACACUGGUACUGAGACACGGACCAGACUCCUACGGGAGGCAGCAGUGAGGAAUAUUGGUCAAUGGGCGCAGGCCUGAACCAGCCAAGUCGCGUGAGGGAAGACGGUCCUACGGAUUGUAAACCUCUUUUGUCGGGGAGUAACGUGCGGGACGGGUCCCGUAUUGAGAGUACCCGAAGAAAAAGCAUCGGCUAACUCCGUG
rnacentral:rRNA from 1 species